rnacentral:rRNA from 1 species
GACGAACGCUGGCGGCGUGCUUAACACAUGCAAGUCGAACGAUGAAGCAAAGAAACGCGAACUUCGGUUCAAAUUUCACUUCGGAUUAGUGGCAGACGGGUGAGUAACGCGUGAGCAACCUACCUCUUACAAAGGGAUAGCCUCGGGAAACCGUGAUUAAUACCAUAUGACACAUUCAUAAGGCAUCUUAAGAAUGUUAAAGCUACGGCGGUAAGAGAUGGGCUCGCGUCCCAUUAGCUAGUUGGUGAGGUAACGGCCCACCAAGGCGACGAUGGGUAACCGGCCUGAGAGGGUGAACGGUCACAUUGGAACUGAGACACGGUCCAAACUCCUACGGGAGGCAGCAGUGGGGAAUAUUGCACAAUGGAGGGAACUCUGAUGCAGCGACGCCGCGUGAGCGAUGAAGGAAUUCGUUUCGUAAAGCUCUGUUCUAUGGGAAGAAAAGGACUGUACCAUAGGAGAAAGCCCCGGCUAAAUACGUG